ensembl:misc_RNA 7SK 7SK RNA
AGAAGGAGGGUGAUAUGGCUAUAGCAUCUGUGGUCCCAUUAUCACCCCAGUUGAUUCAGGGGAUCUGACUGGCUAGGCUGGUGUCCCCCUUCUCCCUCAUCAUUCUUUGUGGGUCCCUCCCAAAUCUGUAGGCUCAGCUGAAGAGGACUUCCCAGAGAGAGAGGAGAACCAUUCUUCCAUCAAGGUCAUAUGAGUCCUGCACUCCCCUGCUACAGCUUCCAAACAAAUCUACUUUCACCCCCACUUAGCUAGGACUCCUGACUAAGGUAAUUAGAGGAAAAGAAAAGAAAGAAAAAAGACAAAGAGAAAAUCAGCUAUCUAAGUUGAAAAGAAGGAAGUAAAAUUAUCUUU